rnacentral:lncRNA from 1 species
UAUUAUAGUGUCAAAAACACUCGUACAUUAUAGGACGAAGGGAGUAGAUAGAUAGAAAAAUGGAUGCAGCGUUACAUACUUGCAGGCUACUAUUUGGUGAACAAGUCAGUAGCUCCGAAUGAUCAAGUUGAGAGUGAUCGAGACAGACUCACACGUCCAAGUUCCCAUUGCAAUGGGAAUAGAAAUAAAUCCUACGCUGCAUAUUGUAGGUAUAUCCAUAUGCUUGGAGACACCAAGAGCUGCACAACAUCGGCCAGUUAAUUCUUCCUCAGAUGCGUGUCAAACUGUCCAUUAGCGCUAUCUGGUCACAGCUUGCUGUUCUACAAUGUGCAUCCAUCGUCCUUGGUUUCUCAAACUC